GCUCUUUAUGUUAAUCAAACAUAAAAUCAAACUUACAUCCCCAGCACUUUGAGUUAAGCCACUGCUUUUAUAUUACCAGGAGCAAGCACAUAGAACAGGUUAAGUAUUGCAGUUAGGUAUGUCCUUAUAAGGAGUUUGAUUUAAAAGUUGAUGAAUUCUAAUUAGUAAAGGUUAGUAAAGAACUUUCGAAAAUUGUGAAACUUGUAAUUCUCCUGGAUGCAGUUGGAGCCAAUGAUUUUAAUGAUCCUUGUUCAGUGACCAGUAUGCUGUUCAAGACAUUGCUCCCACUGGCAGUUCCGAAACCAAACUCUGCUGUGCAGCAGCGCCCUGCAGCUCCCUCAGCAGGACUGAUGGCAAUGUGCUGCCUACCCUUGACUACUGCAAAGCAGAGAACUGACAGCUUUUGACAGGCUUUGGUCUUCAUCUUGAAGCUGAAGGCCAUAACCUCGUUGUGUUAUGCCUGGAGUAAAACCGGGAAGCAUUGGGCACUGGAAUCAGGGGCACGGCUCAGGAUUCCAUCAUCAGUAGAGCUUAAACCAGGGCCUUUGCCACUGAAGCUGGAAAUCAGAAGAGGCAGUCAUAUCACUGUAGGGGAUCUGCUGCCGCAGCCUCUGACUGGGAGCACACAUCGGGAUGAGACUGCUGAUGAAAAGAAUUGGGCAUUGUGGUGUCACAAACUCAGAGGACACUGCUCCAGGUCAGUCUGCACAUAGCUGACCUUGUGCAUCUAGAGAGCUUGUUCUUUCUUGAUUUGAAAUGAAAUCUGAGGAGCCCAAGAGAAGCACUCUGCCUGUCUGGGAGAGGUGGCAAGCAUUUCUACUUAGCCGAUGAAGAUUGUCUGCAGACUUUGCUUUAUUUAUAUAAUUUGGCCUCCUUAAACUAGCUGCAGAUGCACAUCCUUAACAACUGGUUUCAGAAGUAUACAAGUGAGCAACUUUCUUCUGGGAGUAUUUGCCAAAGCAUUCUAUAAAGCCCCUCAAGCAGCAUGUUUCUGACUUUUGCAAGAGAAUCUUUAAUCUUUUGAGAAUACAAAUACAAAUUGCUGUCACCCCCACUUUUAUAGAGAAAGAAUAGAAGUGAAGGCACUUGUACUCUGACAUGAUUUCUGAAAGGGGAAACACUCAAAGUUAGCAGUCACGUUUUGAAAGCUGAAGCUUAAAGUAUUUCAUUAAUACACGCUUAAUAAAAGUGCAGACAUAAGUUUCACUUGGGAAGAAAGAAUCCAUAUCUGCCGAUACUCUGGACGGUACUAACUGUCAAAAUGUGCAGUCUACUAAAACCACAUAAUUCUUCAAUGUGUGCUGUGAAUAGGGAAAUUUCCUUUUCUUUCCCUUCCCCUCUUUUCUAUAUAGCUCACAAAUAUAGAAAUGUGGAUAACUUAAAAAACCACAUUUGUCAGAGUGAUGUAUUUUUCAUUGUCCUAAGGAGAGACAAUCAGUGCAUUUACAUUAUUAAUUUUGAUUCAGGAUGCAAGACACUCUCGUCACUGAAGUGCAAUUUACAGUUGUAGAGAGAAAAUUAGCUAAUAUUUAAUUAAUCAAGGGUUUGGUUACUUUGUACUGUGGAUAAGAAAUUCAAAUUCCUACCAUUUCAAGAGGGAAAACAAUAAUUACACAAAGAUGGUGGGUAAUUUAUUUGUUCUGUAUUGACUAGUGAAACAAAAUACCAGCUGUAAUUAUGCAACCUUAAUUCCUUUAUAUACCGCAGCUGAAUAAAAUAUUUGACCAGAGGUGUGGCCUGUAUCAAUACCAUAAAUGCACUGCCUAAAGUAUAUGGUGUUUAUUUGUAAAGCAGUAUGUUAUUAUCAAUUUACCACAUGAUGUACUGUUUAUUUAACACAAGGCUAUUUGUUCUUGUUAAUCUAAUGUUGUUUAGCUAGAGAUAACAAGGUUAUUACUUUUCAGCGAAAAUAAAUUAGUGUUUACAGUUUUAGGGAAAGACAUCAUGCUAAAUAGCAGCUAAGAAUUGGUUGUUUUCAAACUGCUGUUGUAAUUACAAAGGAGUGAAAAUGUGUACGGUCCUAUAGAUAAGACAGAUUCUUCUCUGUGUGGUGAGAGAAGUAUCUCAGAGAAGUUGUGGACUCCCUGUUGCUGACAGUGCUCAAGACCAGGCUGAAUGGAGCUUGGACCAGCCUGGUGUAGGGGAAGGUUCCCUACCCAUUGCAGGGGGGAGAACUGGAUGAUCUUUGAAGUGCCUUCCAACUCAAACUGUUUUAUGAUUCUAUGAUAACAGUCUUUCUUCUUUAUGUCUGCCUUUCAUUGUUCCCUUAGUAUCAUGAUAUUCUGGGGGUAUGCUUGAAUAGCAUCAUGGAGUGAUUCUUCUGGCCAGCAAGGACAGUAAUUUGCACCUUAAAAGUAAUUCUGCAAAUGCUACCUAUUAUCUGUGCUGCAAAUGAGAAACAGGGAUGACCAUCUGUGUGUCAAGAACAGUAAAUUACGUGUGAAGAUACUGUUUAUUUACUCUAAGUGCCAUUGGUUUGAAUCCUUUUUAAAAGAACUAAGAGGUAGCACAAUACUACAUAAAUGGUUGAGACAUGGUCAAAAAGCGAAUAAAAGAUAUGCUACAAUCCAGA